CAGCGACGCCGCGUGAGGGAUGACGGCCUUCGGGUUGUAAACCUCUUUCAGUAGGGAAGAAGCGAAAGUGACGGUACCUGCAGAAGAAGCACCGGCUAACUACGUGCCAGCAGCCGCGGUAAUACGUAGGGUGCGAGCGUUAUCCGGAAUUAUUGGGCGUAAAGAGCUCGUAGGCGGUUUGUCGCGUCUGUCGUGAAAGUCCGGGGCUUAACCCCGGAUCUGCGGUGGGUACGGGCAGACUAGAGUGCAGUAGGGGAGACUGGAAUUCCUGGUGUAGCGGUGGAAUGCGCAGAUAUCAGGAGGAACACCGAUGGCGAAGGCAGGUCUCUGGGCUGUAACUGACGCUGAGGAGCGAAAGCAUGGGGAGCGAACAGGAUUAGAUACCCUGGUAGUCCAUGCCGUAAACGUUGGGCACUAGGUGUGGGGACCAUUCCACGGUUUCCGCGCCGCAGCUAACGCAUUAAGU
rnacentral:rRNA from 1 species